CUCUCUCUACAUGGCGCUAAGUACUGCCAUGGGACUAAUAAGCACAUGCAGAUGAAUGACUAAUAAUAUCUCUACCAUCAGCUCUCGUUUAUCACAGCCAGAUAAUUUGAAUUUCAAAUUAUCUCCAGAAAGCCUCUCUUUUGAAUAUUUAUUGACAUUUCAACAACUCUUCUUAAUUAAGUAGUUUAUUGGAAUGAACAAGAUCUUUGUUUACUCUAGUUCAGCAGAAGCGUGAAGAGUCAAAAUAACAGCAUUCCUGCUCUGCAGAAGACAUCAAGGAGAACUUUGUCAAGAAAUCUUUGUUCGGCUGUAGGUUUGUUAUUCAUUUCUCCAGCUGUCAGUGAGUGCCCGUAUACAACAGACAUGCUGCUGGGUACAUGUAAAUGAAAAAAUACGUUUGUUGACCUUAGGAACCCCAGAAUCUCCCUAGGAAAAGAGACAUGCAAAACAUGAUAAUAUAGAAAGAAAUGUAUCUCGUGGGAAGUGCAGUAGAGAACAGGAGGAGACGUCUAAAUCAGCCUUACAGAAUCCAAGACUGAACAGAGGAGAGGAUGGUACUUGGGCUUGGCCUGGAGGUGGGGGUCGGAGUGUGUGUAGCCGACUACCUGGGAGGGUGGCUGUGUAGUGGCACUGCAGCGGCCACACAGAGGCAAGGGCAGUCCUUGGCUUCUGAUGUCAGUUUUCUGAGUGGUGCUGUAAUCUGUUUCCAACAGAGGGUGGAUUACAGAAGCCGAAUGCCCGUGGUGGUUUCCCUCUUUAAAGUAACAUGUUAUGUGCGCUCAGAUUAUCAGGGGCUCCUGAUUUCACACUCUGAUGUUAAAUAAAUCAAGAUCAUUAACUUGUAUCUGCAUGAUUUAUUAUUUCAGGCAUUUCACGCUGCUAGGGAAAGGUUCUAUUUGGAUUGUUACACGCUACAACUCUUAUCCCAGGAGGAAAGAUAUACGUUGCUACUUUGGUUGCCAUCUAAGCAACCCUACAAAGGAUAAUAAAGGG
rnacentral:lncRNA from 1 species